AGCGAACGCUGGCGGCAGGCCUAACACAUGCAAGUCGAACGAACCUUUCGGGGUUAGUGGCGGACGGGUGAGUAACACGUGGGAACGUGCCUUUAGGUUCGGAAUCACUCAGGGAAACUUGUCCUAAUACCGAAUGUGCCCUUCGGGGGAAAGAUUUAUCGCCUUUAGAGCGGCCCGCGUCGGAUUAGCUAGUUGGUUGAGGUAAUGGCUCACCAAGGCGACGAUCAGUAGCUGGUCUGAGAGGAUGAUCAGCCACAUUGGGACUGAGACACGGCCCAAACUCCUACGGGAGGCAGCAGUGGGGAAUCUUGCGCAAUGGGCGAAAGCCUGACGCAGCCAUGCCGCGUGAAUGAUGAAGGUCUUAGGAUUGUAAAAUUCUUUCACCGGGGACGAUAAUGACGGUACCCGGAGAAGAAGCCCCGGCUAACUUCGUG
rnacentral:rRNA from 1 species